rnacentral:rRNA from 1 species
GAAUUUCCGCGGGGGCGUCAAAGCUUACCAAAGAAUAUCAAACUCCGAAUGCCAUUAAGAUGAUGAACGGGAGUCAGACUGUACGAGAUAAGUUGGACAGUCAAAAGGGAAAGAGCCCAGACCACCAGCUAAGGUCCCAAAGUGUGUGUUAAGUGGAAAAGGAUGUGGGGAUUCAAAGACAACUAGGAUGUUGGCUCAGAAGCAGCCAUUCAUUCAAAGAGUGCGUAACAGCUCACUAGUCGAGAGUCCCUGCGCCGAAAAUGUCCGGGGCUGAAACACAACACCGAAGCUGUGGAAUCAUACCUAGUAUGAUUGGUAGAGGAGCAUUCUUAAGACCGACGAAGCUGUACCGAUAAGGAGCAGUGGAGGGAUAAGAAGAGAGAAUGCCGGAAUGAGUAGCGAGAGGAAGGUGAGAAUCCUUCCGGCCGAAUAUCCAAGGAUUCCAGGGUAAAGCUGAUCUGCCCUGGGUAAGUCGGGACCUAAGGAGAGGCCGAGAGGCGUAUCCGAUGGACAACAGGUUUAGAUUCCUGUACCACAUAUGGUCAGAACUGUGGGGACGCAGAAGGAAAGCAUGAGCCAGGAAUGGAAAGACUGGUACAAGCAGAGGGGAUGGUGUGCUGGCAAAUCCGCACACGAAAGUCCUUGCUGUGAUGUGGAGCGAACCAAAGUAGCGAAGCAUGCGGACCGGCUGCCGAGAAAAGCCGCUAUUGUGCCAUAUGUGCCCGUACCGUAAACCGACACAGGUGGAUGAGGAGAGAAUCCUAAGGCCGACGGAAGAAGUAUUGUUAAGGAACUCGGCAAAAUGACCCCGUAACUUCGGGAGAAGGGGUGCCUGAGAAAUCAGGCCGCAGAGAAUAGGCUCAAGCAACUGUUUAGCAAAAACACAGGUCUAUGCAAAACCGAAAGGUGAAGUAUAUGGGCUGACGCCUGCCCGGUGCUGGAAGGUUAAGAGGAGAGGUUAGCGCAAGCGAAGCUUUGAAUUUAAGCCCCAGUAAACGGCGGCCGUAACUAUAACGGUCCUAAGGUAGCGAAAUUCCUUGUCGGGUAAGUUCCGACCCGCACGAAAGGCGUAAUGAUUUGAGCACUGUCUCGACAAUGCAUCCGGUGAAAUUGAAGUACCAGUGAAGAUGCUGGUUACCCGCGCCAGGACGGAAAGACCCCAUGGAGCUUUACUCCAGUUUGGUACUGGGAUUCGGUACUGCAUGUACAGGAUAGGUGGGAGACGAAGAAGUUAGGACGCCAGUCUUAACAGAGUCGCUGUUGGGAUACCACCCUUGCAGUAUUGGGUUUCUAACCAGCCGCUGUGAACCAGCGGUGGGACAAUGCCAGGCGGGGAGUUUGACUGGGGCGGUCGCCUCCGAAAGGGUAUCGGAGGCGCUCAAA